UACGGAAGGGGGCGAGCGUUGUCCGGAAUUUAUUGGGCGUAAAGAGCUCGUAGGCGGUCUGUCGCGUCGGCUGUGAAAACCCGGGGCUCAACCCCGGGCCUGCAGUCGAUACGGGCAGACUAGAGUGCGGUAGGGGAGACUGGAAUUCCUGGUGUAGCGGUGAAAUGCGCAGAUAUCAGGAGGAACACCGGUGGCGAAGGCGGGUCUCUGGGCCGUAACUGACGCUGAGGAGCGAAAGCGUGGGGAGCGAACAGG
rnacentral:rRNA from 1 species